AUUGAACGCUGGCGGCAGGCUUAACACAUGCAAGUCGAGCGGGGUGAUGGUGCUUGCACUAUCACUUAGCGGCGGACGGGUGAGUAAUGCUUAGGAAUCUGCCUAUUAGUGGGGGACAACAUCUCGAAAGGGAUGCUAAUACCGCAUACGUCCUACGGGAGAAAGCAGGGGAUCACUUGUGACCUUGCGCUAAUAGAUGAGCCUAAGGCGGAUUAGCUAGUUGGUGGGGUAAAGGCCUACCAAGGCGACGAUCUGUAGCGGGUCUGAGAGGAUGAUCCGCCACACUGGGACUGGGACACGGCCCAGACUCCUACGGGAGGCAGCAGUGGGGAAUAUUGGACAAUGGGGGGAACCCUGAUUCAGCCAUGCCGCGUGUGUGAAGAAGGCCUUAUGGUUGUAAAGCACUUUAAGCGAGGAGGAGGCUCUUUUGGUUAAUACCCAAGAUGAGUGGACGUUACUCGCAGAAUAAGCACCGGCUAACUCUGUGCCAGCCGCCGCCGUAA
rnacentral:rRNA from 1 species